GAUGAACGCUGGCGGCGUGCCUAAUACAUGCAAGUCGAGCGAACAGACGAGGAGCUUGCUCCUCUGACGUUAGCGGCGGACGGGUGAGUAACACGUGGAUAACCUACCUAUAAGACUGGGAUAACUUCGGGAAACCGGAGCUAAUACCGGAUAAUAUAUUGAACCGCAUGGUUCAAUAGUGAAAGACGGUUUUGCUGUCACUUAUAGAUUGAUCCGCGCCGCAUUAGCUAGUUGGUAAGGUAACGGCUUACCAAGGCAACGAUGCGUAGCCGACCUGAGAGGGUGAUCGGCCACACGGGAACUGAGACACGGUCCAGACUCCUACGGGAGGCAGCAGUAGGGAAUCUUCCGCAAUGGGCGAAAGCCUGACGGAGCAACGCCGCGGGAGUGAUGAAGGUCUUCGGAUCGUAAAACUCUGUUAUUAGGGAAGAACAAAUGUGUAAGUAACUAUGCACGUCUUGACGGUACCUAAUCAGAAAGCCACGGCUAACUACGUG
rnacentral:rRNA from 1 species